rnacentral:misc_RNA from 1 species
ACUGGCUGAGGGUGUGAGCCGUGAGGGGUUCUCGUCUGUAGUGGACGAGGGCCGGGUGCACAACAACAGGCAAUCGCCAGACACACUAUUGGGCCCUGAGACAACACUCGGCCGACUUCGGUUGAAGUGGUGUCCCUCCAUCUUGGUGGUGGGGUGUGGUGUUUGAGUAUUGAAUAGUGGUUGCGAGCAUCCGGAGGUCAUCACCGGGUCUGUGUUAUGGCCGGGUAAUCUGCACAUGCGCGGCUCGGGGGUCAAGGGUCGGGACC